GGUAGGGUUUCAUUGUGGUAGGGUUUCAAUGCAGUGGAGAGAAGACGACGACGAGUUUCUGUACCGUGGGAGAAAAGACGAAGACGACAGGUUUCUGUCUGUCAGUGUGUUCAUUUUCGUAGUUUGGUGUUUUUGUGUGCUUUGGUUCGUUACGUAAUUGUUGGAGAUCAGUCGUUGAUUGGAGGUGGAGAACGAUUACAAAAUUUCUUUCUCAAGCAGAUGGAUAAAUUCAUGUUGUUGGUGUGCUCAUAGGAGUGUAGUACUAUUGUAAUAAAUGUGGAGCAAGCUCUGUCUUUUUCACUUUUCGUGGAGUGUGU